AUGAUGAAGAUGAUUGUGGUAAUGAAUCUUGCAGAUUCGUUGAUAAUGAAGAAGGAUGUUGCCCUGUUACCAAUAACUCUCCAAGCAAAGAUGAUGAUGCGAGUGCUGCGGAGACACUUUUAUUCCGACCGAAGCAUGUCGUCACAGCAGAUUGUUAUAAAAGGAAUGGGUGAGAUGGAUUUAAUAAAGGUUUGGAAAACUUGGAGUCGGGACAUGAAACCUAUCGCAGAAGCAACUUUGUACAUGCUUGAAUCAAAGUUUGACAAAGAGUUUGGAGGUUGCAAAAAUGGCAUCAUGAAGUCAUAA